UACAGGGGGGGCAAGCGUUGUUCGGAAUUACUGGGCGUAAAGGGCUCGUAGGCGGCCAACUAAGUCAGACGUGAAAUCCCUCGGCUCAACCGAGGAACGUCGAUCGAUACUGCUGUUCUUGAGGAUUGCAGAGGAGACUGGAAUUCCCGGUGUAGCGGUGAAAUGUGUAGAGAUCGGGAGGAACACCGGUGGCGAAGGCGGGUCUCUGGGCAAUUCCUGACGCUGAGGCGCGAAAGCGUGGGGAGCAAACGGG
rnacentral:rRNA from 1 species